UGGUGUUUCUUCUAAAAUCCUACGAGCCUGACAACUGCAGCAGCUUCAUUAUCAAGAAGAGCAGUUUGGAAAAUCUAACCUCCAGAACAUAUUUGUGAUUAGUAUCUACAUUUUGCGUUGCCAGGUCUCCCAGCCUAUGACACCAAUUGGCUCUAGCCACCCAAAGGACAGAGGUUGGAGGAGGUGUUGUGGUGGAUUUCGAACUUGUGGAUGCAGAAGACUAGAGUUGAAACUGCUGUUUUGGAAAAGAUCUGUUGGCCAGAGCCCAGCUUGGAACUAGCUGGGAAGAAGAAAAACAAAGUCUUGGGAAUUGUUCUGAAAUGAAGCUGUCCCUUCAAGAGAACUUGGAUAUGAAUCAACAGAUAUGCUAGAUGGCUAGUGCAGCAGAGAUCUGAGCACACUGGGGCAACCAAUUCAUCUGGCAUCAAGAACGUAGCUGUUGUGCAAAAGGAGGAAAGUAGAGAGAAACAGGCAUGAA